ensembl:lncRNA PSD2-AS1 PSD2 antisense RNA 1
AUCCGCAGAGGCCUGAAGCGUGAAGGUUAACAGCUGGGGGGGAGGCUGCGUCUCCCUCUCUCACCCCCGCUCUGCUGCAGCCCCGCCCACCUGCCAGCCCAGGGGAUGUCGUAAACAGGGCUGUGAGUGACACAGCCUGGAGACCCAGCUCUGUCACUCAACUCUACAUAGCCUUCACCCAGAGCCUGACAGUGUAUAUGAACAAGAGGCUGUGCCUGGUGAGUGCUUCUGCCACUUUCUCCAGGAUGACAGCUGUGGACUCCUGCCACAUCCAACACCCCCUUGCUGCUCCCCACCGCCCUCCUUGGCACCCAGGUGGCUGAUCUCCUAUGGUCUUGCUGGCUUCUCUACCUUGUAUGCUGAGGGCGGGCCCAGCCUGCCCCAGCUCAGGGUCUGCACAUAGUAGGUGCUUGCAUGUUGCCUGCUAAACUGACAGCCCUGUAACCAUGUCAGCACAAAGCAACCAGCAUUUUGGGUGCAUCUGCAGUUAAAAUAAACCACUGAGGUCAUGGGUCUGUUCUCUCUGCAAAAACAAAAAUACCCCACUAGCCAUAUCUGAUGAGAACCAUAGCAAAAGAUCAGAAUGUAAUGGCUUCAUCCAGAAGCAAAGCAUGAGGUUCCAAACCAUGUCCCUGACCUGAAGGGGCACCUGCCCAGGCCCAGGGGUGCCAACUCCUAGAGGCAGCUGGCAUGUGACUACUGUGCCCAGUAGAGAAAGGCAGACACUCAGUCCCCAGAGCCCAGAGCCCCGAGGGAAUUAUGGAACAUCCUCCAUAUUUGAUUCAAAAUAAAAACCACAGUAAACCAUAGACCCAAAACUUAUACGUCGGCUGAAAUUAAAAUAGCUUCUUGCUACGUUUUCUGGUUUCAAUAUUCUGGAUAAACUCAUGGAAGCUGAAUCAGGCAA